rnacentral:hammerhead_ribozyme from 1 species
UUCAGUUGACGAGUCCUAAAUAAGACGAAACAUGCGUCCUAGAA